rnacentral:lncRNA from 12 species
AUGACCCAACUUAUCAGUUGUAUCAGCUUGAACAAUGGACCAAAAGAGAAUAUGAAAUGGCUUAAAAGAAGAAUGGGGAAUCAAGAAAUUUGUGGCAAAGCCUUGGUUGCAGCUCUAGCUGUUUGUCUUAUUCUGCACACGUCAUACAGCUUGCCUGGGUCUCUCUUUCAUCAUCUUAGAAUAAAAAGUAAGAAAGUGCACCACGAAGUCCUUGUUUCUAAAACUGAAGUUGAAGUCAUCCUUGGCAACAGCUAUUUUGGAAUGGAAAAAUCACAAGAAUGAGCCAGGUGCUCAUCAUAAAGGCUUACUCCAAGCUAAAGAAAAUAAUUUGUAUGGAAAUGAAAAUGGGAAAAGUGAACUUAAGUAUAAACCUUGAACUCUGAAGUAGUUAAGUGGUAGGAAAAAUUUCUUAAAGUAAUCAAAUAAGAAACUUGUAUAAGCAAUCUGGAGGAGAAUAGUGAGUUUCUCCUCCUGAUAUAAUAAGAACUGAAACAAAGGGUUUAACAAAUAGUAUGUAGAAAUUACACGAUUUAGAAAUAUGAGGCUAUACAAACAUGAAAAAACAAAAAGUGUGGCUUACAAUAGGGUAAAGAGAGAAAACUGAUAAUAGAUAAUUAUUUAUUCACUCACCAAAUAUAUAUUGGCACCCACUACUUAAAACUGCCCUAGGUUCUAGAAAAAAGAAGUGUGCCAAAAUGAAGGAAAGCAACAUUUAGAAUUAAUAUCUAGGAGAAAAUAAGCUUUCAUAAACUCUUUCACAUCUUCCCAAGACCCCAACAGUGAAAACAAAAUCUGAUGAACACAAGAAGAUGUGCUGUAUAAAGGCAGUCUGCCCUUCUCCUUUAAAUUGGUGAUCUUUGAGAUAUAUUUUAUUUGUAGUUUUUAGGGUUCUGUGAUUCUAAGGAUCUCAGAAGAAUUGAUAAAUCAAAACUAUAUCUGGACCAGAUGCAAAGGACAAGUACAGUUUUCUCUUGGCCUAAUGUAUUCGAAGUAUGCUGUUGGGGAUCUUUGACCUAUUUCUGUCAAUUCAGAGAAAGCAAGUAUCAUAGAAGAAAACAUAUUAUUAUGUGCUCUUCAUAGCUACCCAAAUGUACUCCACAUUACCUUAUGGUUACAGGAUUCUUGAUCUUCUUCUACUUUCUACUGUAGUGUUGAUUUUAUUGUUACCAGAUGUUUGGCCCUGUGCCUUGGGUUACCCAGGUUCACUGGCCCAACAAACAAAACAAAAUUGGAAUCAUAUUGAGUACAUACAUUUGAUGAAAUAAUGAUAUGUCAGAGAAAUGAGAAGGAUAGUGCCAAAGGGGAAAAAAAUUGAAGUGCUGUCUUAGGAGGGUAGAAACACAAAUGCCAAGAACCUUUAGAACCACACUCAGCAUUUUAAAGAAAGCUUUAAUGUGUGAGCAAAUUCCAGUGGCUACCAGGGCAAACUGUACUUUUAUAUGAUUCACAAAGCUUUGUUUUAAGGGACUGGGAUAGGGACUGUGUAAGCGAUGAAACGCACAUUCCCUUCACAUCCAAGAACCCAUUGCAGUGAGGUUUGUCACGCUUAUCCACAUGAAACUAGAUUUUUAAUACAUUUUUAUAUUUAUGUUAGAUUGAUCUUGGCAGAUGGUUUUUAGUAAAUCCCAACAUUCAGUAAAUCAUGCUGAAAAACUUACCUUAGAGCACAGAUUCCACUGUUGUUCAAAUAAACAAUAGCUGUGUGUUUGGUAACUUAAGAGA